rnacentral:rRNA from 1 species
GACGAACGCUGGCGGCGUGCUUAACACAUGCAAGUCGAGCGGAAAGGCCCUGCUUUUGUGGGGUGCUCGAGUGGCGAACGGGUGAGUAACACGUGAGUAACCUGCCCUUGACUUUGGGAUAACUUCAGGAAACUGGGGCUAAUACCGGAUAGGAGCUCCUGCUGCAUGGUGGGGGUUGGAAAGUUUCGGCGGUUGGGGAUGGACUCGCGGCUUAUCAGCUUGUUGGUGGGGUAGUGGCUUACCAAGGCUUUGACGGGUAGCCGGCCUGAGAGGGUGACCGGCCACAUUGGGACUGAGAUACGGCCCAGACUCCUACGGGAGGCAGCAGUGGGGAAUAUUGCACAAUGGGCGGAAGCCUGAUGCAGCAACGCCGCGUGCGGGAUGACGGCCUUCGGGUUGUAAACCGCUUUCGCCUGGGACGAAGCGUGAGUGACGGUAAUGGGUAAAGAAGCACCGGCUAACUACGUG